rnacentral:lncRNA from 1 species
GUUUUCCGACUGCAGUCAUCUCCUCAUACUCCUCCCAACAUGUGUAUACACAGCGUUGGUCUGCUGGCUCACUUACAACUGGAAAAACAGAACAGGCAUUAAAAGAGCUCCAGGAAUUGCCUAUAUCAAUGAAAAGAAGGAUGCUGCAUAAGGUCUGACUACAAAGAUACCUUUAAUCCUCCACUUCAUGACAUCAUCACGGACAUGGAGAAAAGUUACCUGUUGAAGUGGCUUGCCAAAUUAUUCUCAUCACAGAUAAGAGCUGAGAAGCUGAAAAAAGCUGAGUAAUUUUGCAUAGAGGCAUGAAGCUUUCCAUCAUCAACCAAGAAUAAUAUCAUG